rnacentral:rRNA from 1 species
AUUCCAGCUCCAAUAGCGUAUAUUAAAAUUGUUGCAGUUAAAAAGCUCGUAGUUGGAUCUGCGGUUAGGGCUUGCGGUCCACCACGCGGUGGCACUGCUCGUCCCGACCUACAUCGAAUUGACCCGCGUUGCUCUUCACUGAGUGACCGGGAAGGCUCGAACGUUUACUUUGAAAAAAUUAGAGUGUUCAUAGCAGGCAGUCCGCCCGAAUAAUGUUGCAUGGAAUAAUGGAAUAGGACCUCGGUUCUAUUUUGUUGGUUCUCGGAAUUGAGGUAAUGAUUAAUAGGGACGGCCGGGGGCAUUCGUAUUACGGUGUUAGAGGUGAAAUUCUGGGAUCAUCGUAAGACGAACUACAGCGAAAGCAUUUGCCAAGAAUGUUUUCAUCA